GACGAAGGGGGCUAGCGUUGUUCGGAAUUACUGGGCGUAAAGCGCGUGUAGGCGGUUGCCCAAGUCGGGUGUGAAAGCCUUGAGCUCAACUCAAGAAAUGCACUCGGUACUGGGUGACUAGAGGACCGGAGAGGAUAGUGGAAUUCCCAGUGUAGCGGUGAAAUGCGUAGAUAUUGGGAGGAACACCAGUGGCGAAGGCGGCUCACUGGACCGGAACUGACGCUGAGGCGCGAAAGCGUGGGGAGCAAACAGG
rnacentral:rRNA from 1 species